rnacentral:lncRNA from 1 species
AUGUUUGAGAAAAAUUUCUGCCUUCAGAGUGGGAAUACAAAUGUCAUGCAGAAAAGUCUUGUUCUCCUAAGCAUUGGCCUAAGACUUGAAGUUGUCAAGACUCUGUUAAAACUCCCCACUGCUGAGAAUGACCUCAUCAUCCAGAGGUGAAUCAAGCAUCAAUAAUGCAGUUAAUAUUCAUUUUUUAUUUAUCUGGAAUAAUGACAUAGUGUGAUCUGGAGGGGGAUUUUUAAAGAAACGGAAAGUUAUUGCUAAUGGAUGACUCACCAUUGCUUGUAGGUCUCCUUGGAGUAACAACCUACUGGACUAAAACUUGCUUUGCUUCUUGGGACACUUAUUAAUCCAUCCAUUCUUUUCCUUGAUCUAUAUGUGUGUGUGUAUUUUUUUUUUUUAAUAUCACAUUCUGACCAAAAUGGCUGUCAAUGUAAUCAGUCCUCAUCAUUCUUAUAGGAAAUCCAAGAAUUGUGGAUUAAAUAUUCAUAAUCUUUUUUAUUCAGAUUUCCUUUUAGAUUUUCCUAUUUGUGUUUUUUAGACUUGAUUUGUGUUUCUGGUAUCUGUAAGCAGAUCAAAUACAACCCUUUACAAAAAGUCAUGCCUCAGUAAUGUUAUAAGUACAACAACAAUUCCAUCUGGUGCUUUCAGUAAUAAAACCCUUGAAAGGCAUCAAAAUAUAAUUGCUUUUGUAUAUUAUGCCAAAACUAGUUUGGCCAUGGUGAGGCUACAAAAUAUGUAUAAUGAGUAUAAAAUAUCUCUUCUCUAAAUUUUAGAAAUGCAUUAUAUUAAAGAGUGCUUAAAUGUGAACUGAUAAAGGUGAGAAGAGGUGCAUACAUUUAAAAAAUCAUAUAAUCUCAUUUUGUUAUAAAUUAUGUUUUUUGGUCCAUGUGUUACUUUAUUAAUUUUUCCAACCAUACAUGAAAGAUGAAUAAUUGAAAAACAGCAACAGAUCAUCUAUAUUUUUGUUUGUUGUUCAGUCACUCUGUUGUGACUGACUCUUUGUGACCCUAUGGACGCCAGCACUAUCUUUCACCGUCUCCCAGAGCUUGCUCAAACUCAUGUCUGUUGAGUUGGUGCUGCCAUCCAACCAUCUUGUCCUCUGUCAUCCCCUUCUCCUCCUGCCGUCAAUAUUUUCUGCAUCAGGGUCUUUUCUAGUGAGUUUAUUGUUGGACGAUCACUAUUUUUGGUGAGAUUAUUGUAUUAAAAAGAUAAAGUUUAU